rnacentral:piRNA from 1 species
UCUUGAAACUUGCCUAUAAGA